rnacentral:rRNA from 1 species
UACGUAGGGUGCGAGCGUUAUCCGGAAUUAUUGGGCGUAAAGAGCUCGUAGCGGUUUGUCGCGUCUGUCGUGAAAGUCCGGGGCUUAACCCCGGAUCUGCGGUGGGUACGGGCAGACUAGCCUGCCCUAGGGGAGACUGGAAUUCCUGGUGUAGCGGUGGAAUGCGCCAGAUAUCAGGAGGAACACCGAUGGCGAAGG